rnacentral:rRNA from 1 species
UACGUAGGGACCAAGCGUUGUUCGGAUUUACUGGGCGUAAAGGGCGCGUAGGCGGCGUGGUAAGUCACUUGUGAAAUCUCUGAGCUUAACUCAGAACGGUCAAGUGAUACUGCUGUGCUAGAGUGCAGAAGGGGCAAUCGGAAUUCUUGGUGUAGCGGUGAAAUGCGUAGAUAUCAAGAGGAACACCUGAGGUGAAGACGGGUUGCUGGGCUGACACUGACGCUGAGGCGCGAAAGCCAGGGAGCAAACGGG